UUAAGUCGACCGCCUGGGGAGUACGGCCGCAAGGUUAAAACUCAAAUGAAUUGACGGGGGCCCGCACAAGCGGUGGAGCAUGUGGUUUAAUUCGAUGCAACGCGAAGAACCUUACCUACUCUUGACAUCCACGGAAUUCGGCAGAGAUGCCUUAGUGCCUUCGGGAACCGUGAGACAGGUGCUGCAUGGCUGUCGUCAGCUCGUGUUGUGAAAUGUUGGGUUAAGUCCCGCAACGAGCGCAACCCUUAUCCUUUGUUGCCAGCGAUUCGGUCGGGAACUCAAAGGAGACUGCCGGUGAUAAACCGGAGGAAGGUGGGGAUGACGUCAAGUCAUCAUGGCCCUUACGAGUAGGGCUACACACGUGCUACAAUGGCGCAUACAAAGAGAAGCGACCUCGCGAGAGCAAGCGGACCUCACAAAGUGCGUCGUAGUCCGUCUGCAACUCGACUCCGUGAAGUCGGAAUCGCUAGUAAUCGUGGAUCAGAAUGCCACGGUGAAUACGUUCCCGGGCCUUGUACACACCGCCCGUCACACCAUGGGAGUGGGUUGCAAAAGAAGUAGGUAGCUUAACCUUCGGGAGGGCGCUUACCACUUUGUGAUUCAUGACUGGGGGAAGUCGAAGCAAGGAAGAAAG
rnacentral:rRNA from 1 species